ACACCAUAUUACACCGAAGCACGAUAUUAAGCACAAAGCUGAGACUCAGGCUUGUUAUUGGAAUCCCACCCUGGCUGACUGUGGUGUGUCGAGGAAGCAGCAAAAAUUCCCUCGCUCCCCGGGCGCUCCUGAAAGCACCCGCUGCUCGCCACAGAUGGUUUAAAUACCAAUGACAAAUUUUUGUUCUGUGUGUAUUGGUGUAAAUGUACCAAGUCCAGAAAUAUAUAAUUAAUUUUCUAGUUAUUAAGAAAUUAAAAUGUUGAAUUUAAUCUCAGUAAUUCACACUCAAAUUCACACCAACAGUCAAUUUCACACCAACAUUUGACCUAACUCUGCACCUUUUUAAGGUUGCGGGAGUAAACCUCAGAAAGAGGAAAGAGAGAAAACUCACGUACAUACAGUGAGAACAUGUAAAUGAUCUCUCGACUGUAAGGCAAAAGCUCCAACCACUUCCCCACUUUGUGACCUGCAACUGACUGCAUUUCUAUCAAACAACUGAAAGGUUUGGUUCCAUUUGGUUCUACUUUCUGCAAAGAAUUGUAUUUUUUUUUCACACCUAACAACAAACCUAAACCAUUACACACUUAUACAAACAUGCACAUGUGGUUUAACACCUGCAGAAAAUCACACAAAAAAACCCCAAGACUUGACAAAUUCUGAUCUUGAUGUGCACCAAUAAGUAAACAAAGAUCAGAUCAAUCCCACAAACCCCCUGACCAUCAACCCUUCACCUCGUGUUGACAACAUUCUCACGUGGCUUUUGUCACAGACACUUCAAGUCGCCGUCUUAAUUCACUUCCUGUAUUUCUGAAUUUUACCUAAAUACACAAUAACCCCCCACACAGAGUCAGUUGUCCACGGCUAGGACACAACAGAGAGACACGCGGAGCAGACAGAAGAGAGGGCGUCAAGAACCAAAACAAAAGCCUCGGACAAACCUUGGUCUCCCGCAGCAAAGUCGCUGCAAGGUGGUUCAUACUCAAACAAGUAGUCAAACUCCAGGUCCUCAUCAGGGCGGGUCAAUUUUCGGAGUGAACGCGCAACUGUGUUUUGAGUGCGAUCGCGCCUGUCAGUGCAGAGGUGACGCUGUCUGUGAGAGACAACAAGAGGAACAGGAAACUAACUUUAUGUCCAGGUGACGAAAACAAAGCCAACGGUGACGCAACUUGAUCGUCGUCAGAAGCCACCGCUGCAACCGUGACUGCAGCCUAAUGCUGCCCCCGGGUGUUGGACACGCUGCAGUGACACAGCAGGGUGCAGCUGAUCUGGAACAUCUACCACGGAGCAGCAGCAGCAGUA